GAGAAGUGGAGAAAAUUAUAUUAAGAUAUUUAUGUUUAUUAAGAGAAAUGUCGUACUGCAUAUUUAUAGAUAUAAUUUAUAUAUAUAUAGCAAUGCCUUUUUGCAUUUUAAAUAAAUGCCGAUAUCAUGUACUUGCAUACCGUCUUUAUAGUUAUUUUUACCUUCACAACUUUAAUUUAAUUUUAUAAAAUGAAACUACGACAUAAGUUUUCGCUUUCAAACAUAUAUUAUUCUGAUAAAAAGAGUAAUCAUGAUAGAAAUUAUAUUGAAAUUCGUUUUAAAUUAUUAUUUUCUUGACUUAAAGAAGAUAAACUUUCGUAACCUAUAAAACUAAGCUACCCAAAACUUAUAUCUUUUCUCUGCAGUUUAGUGACCUAUAAAUCGACAUUUUCAGCGGUAGCCUCAGAAGAUAAACUGUAAUUAUAGCCCAUUGGAUUGUUUAUAACGGGCGCCCGCGGGAGGUCACAUCAGCCACCGCAUUUAGUCGGUGGGUUAAUUAAGGGAAAUUAAAUGGAAAUCGAAACCAAGGCAGACUUCUGGUGCUGUUUGUUGUUGUUUUAGCAGAAUGCACUAGGCCAUCAUAACGGCGUGUGUUUGUGUUUGCCUUUAUCAUUUUCAUUUUCGCAGCUCAAAUUCAUCAGGGGAUUUCCUGGCGAAGGGAGAGAGGGUGUUGAGGGGACAGCUGCACCGAUGAUGGGUUAAAUUAAAAGCUGGCAAUUCGCAUUCACGGCCUCUCUCCUCUCCUUUCGUUUCUGGUUCCCCUACAUAAUUACCAACAUAAGGCCAGGGGCGUAGGCGAAAGGGGUUGUAAGAGAGAAUUUGUUUAACGUUGUCUCCACUGAUAAGACUUUAAGUUGUAUUAAUCAUAGGGUAGUUUAAUAACAAAACUACAUCUAGUAAACUGUUGAAGAUCUAUUUAGUGAUAGUUGAGCUUAGAACUCAAACAAAAGGUUGCAUUCUAUAUCUAAACAUGGCAUUAUCUUUAUUUAUAUUGUCUUACUAAAAACAAGAUUUAAAGACCAAACUUUAAUAAGAUACAAAGAUAUUAAUUCAGAAUCAUAUAUAUCCUAACUACCCCAUAGGAUCUUAAAUAAUCCCCCUUUCGAUAAAAAUCCUUCGCACGCCACUGCAUUUUGUGCAUGUGUACAAACACAUUUGGUGGAAAACAUUUUCGGUGAAAUGAGGUCACAUGAAAAACGAAAAUUAAAAUGAGCGAGUGGAGAGAGAAAACAAGAGUGCCUAACCCAACACUCCCCCUGCAAUCGCUUCGACCUCUCUCUCUGUUCCGACGACCCCCCACUCCUACCCAUUCUGGUGAUCGCCGCACCCACAUGUGACGUGCUGACGGAAAGCGAAAAGACAACAACAACCACGGCCAGAAGAACGGCAGCACAUUGGGCCACAUUUUGUUUUUUGUUUUUUUUUGGUGGUGUCGCCGAUGGACACACCGAAUCCGAAUUGAAAGCAUUUCACAACAAUGUCCAUUUUCAUAGUGCCAACUGCAACACGCACACUCUAACAACUCAAAUGCACUGAAAGAAAUACUUUACUAAAAUGGUAAACGCAAAAAAAUAAUAAAAUCAGGAAGAGGAUUAACCCAUAUGCUAGAUUAAAAAGCAUCUAAACUUUAAAAUAUAUUUUCUAUAAUUUUUAAAUUAUAUAAAAUUGUUUAUAAAAUAAGAUUUAAGAUAAGUAAGUUCAAGGCCUACUUAGUACCUCCUCCCAAUUUAUCUCAGUGUAAAUAGUAAAACACACCCUCGAACAAAAAGGGACAGUUUGGUUGGCUGAUUGUGAAAAGUUUAAAUUUACAUUUUGUCCAUUUGCUUUGGUCGCUUGUUUCCUAUGAGUGUUGUUAUGGCCAAGUUUUCCUUCGUUUGCUCAGCGUAGCGUGCUAAAAAAACUUAAAAACAAAAAACAAACAGCCAUUCUCGGGGGGUUUUGUUAACUUGAAUUCGAAUUCCUGCCAAAAUUGAGGUGAUCGUUUGCCCCGUCUCUGUUGCAUUCCCCGAAAACCUCCUGCCUGCCCCGCUCCUCUGCCACAAAAAAUGCACAUUCACUCACGCAUUCGCUCUUUGUCGUAAACUUAAGCCAUAAAAGAAAUUUAUUCUCGUAUUUACAAAAGACACUGAGGCCAUCUGAAUUUAUGUUGCACGCUCUCCGCCCCCCAAAAAAAAAACAAAAUGUUAAAAAAGAGCCAUUCAACCGGGAAGAUAAGCCUGGAAUAACGAACAGCAAUCGCAAUGAAAGUUUAUUUGCAGAAUUUCGUUUUUUGGGGGUCGAUCUGAAUCGAAUUGUUUUUUUUUUUUGGCUUCCGAUAAAGAAGUCGGGGAAUGUGCUUGGGGAAAACGGAAAUACAAAGUAUUUGCCCAAAUAAACAUUUUGGAAAACUCUGCUUGUGGAUAUUUCUGAUAACUUUUGGUCUCAGGAAGUUCUUUAAGAUGAAAAUGAUUCCCAAGAGCCUUUUGCUAAUUUCAUUCUUAUCCAAGAUUAUUUGAAUCGCAAAGUUAUUUUUGAUAAAACAUAAAUCGAUUAGGAAUUCGCCAGUCUACAUCAAAUACAUUAAAUAUAAAAACUACCAAAAAGUAUGAAAUAUUCAUUGAAGGUAUUCACUGCAAAAAUCUUAACAGGAAGUAAUGAUUUCUUUGAAAAAAAAUAUAAAACCUUCAAACUUUGAUAAUAUUUUUGGAAAAAGAAAUACAAAGUGAAAUUCCCACUUAAAAUUAAUUAUCAAAAAACAUGAAAUAUUAUUUAAAGCCCAAGGGAUUUAAUCCCAAAGAAAGUAAUAAAUAAAAUACAAAAAAUACAAAUCUUCAAAUUACCCAUUCAAAAACUUAUAUAUCUUUGGCAUAUACAAAGACAAGGAAAUACACAGUAAAACCUCAAAAAACGAAGCUAAUAAAGUUGUAUUAAGGAUUCUUUUAAACUCAAGUCCUGACCUCAAGGAAAUUAUAUAAUAAUUUGCUUGAAUAAAAUAUAAAUCCCUGAAACUUUCAUCUUAACCAUUAGAACAUUUUUUAACCAGAAUUUCCAAAAAAAAAACAGAAAAACAUUUAAAGUACCAUUAAUUCGAAAAUUCCUCUUUUAACCCUAUAAUUUCAAGAACCUUAACCCCGGAUUAUGUACGCUUUCAUGUUUCUCCUAUCUCCGGAGAUAGCAUACGCUUAACCCUUGUUUCCCGCCCGUUUUAAUUGCUACUCAGAAUUAGAGCCACAACAAUUUAUCAUAACCAUGAUUCCGAAAAUAAAAGACAGGGAAAUGUGCAUUUCAGCUAAUAACCCACAGCCUCGGGCCAAAGUUAAGUCAGCAUUAGUGCCAGUCACUCCCCCAACCUCUGCUAUAUAUAUAUACUCGCAUAUAUAUAUAUAUAUAUUUGGUCGGGAAUCAUUCAAGUGCAGCACUUUUGCUGUUGGUUUUACUACCUGUGAUAAGGCCCCGAGGAAAUUAAAAGCCAGUCGUGGAGGGAGCGAGCUCUCUGAUCUUUGAUCUCCUUUCCUUUCCCAGUGUUUUCAGGUUUGUCCAGCCGGGUCUGUCCAUGUCCCUCCCCCUCUGUAGCUCGUGCACUGAACCAAAUUUGCUAACAGUUGGAUAGUCGGUUAGGUUAAGGUUUGAUAAGUAAAUAUUUUUGAUUUAUUAACCAAAAAUAGAUUUAUUUCUUUUUUUGCUAAGUCUUUGAAAAGUGUAUCUUCCUAAUAGGGUCGUUAGAAAUUUGCAUCUAAAAGUCAUUUUAACUCUGAAGCAACCUUAACCCAUAAUAAUAACCUGGUCAUUUGUAUUUCUCCCAGUGUAGUACGUGACUGACCAGUCACAGAAAGCCGGGAGAAAGACCUGGCUAAGGGACAGAGGUGCGUUAUAUGAGCCGAAAAUUGUUUGGCUCUGUUCCUGUGCAUUGUGUUUGUGAGUGUGUGUGUGUGUGUGUGUGUAUGAGUGUUUGUGUGUGGCAGAUAGAGACAUGAACGAAGCGGAUAAUGAUAAUGGCAGUCGGGUUCUGUGAAAGCGAUCAGGUUACGGCCACGAUCCGGGAGGAGAGGACCUCAUCAAGUGACUACCUACGCAUUGGGCACUUUUGAAAUUGGCUAGGAACGGGCUGUAUUAUCCGGCAGAAGGGGAGGGGAGGGGUGAAUCUAAAGGGAGUUAAGGACACAGAUGCAGGGGCAGAUGUGCCUCAUCGACAGAUGCCACAAACUAGCAAAUUAUUCGCAAGCGUGUGCCGGGCCUUGGAAAAGGGAUAUAGUCUAAAGUACCAUUUGGCAGAUGCCAAACUAAUCGAGUUUCUAAAAUAAAUUCAAAAAACAGAAAUGUCUAAAAUAUGCAAAUAUAUAUAUGAGCAAGCAUGUUUCAAUCAUUUCGGCCUCCAUUAUCCAAAUCGAUUUAUUUCAAUUUCCAUUUGUUUGAUCCCCCAGAUGAGAGAGAGGCUAUACUCGUACUCGCGGCAUCAAGUGGCCGCAAUAAAUUUCGAUUUUCUAUGAUCCAAACGUCUACGUUCUGUAGGCACUUUCUUCAUAUGCAUUUCCAAAUAGAGAACAUUGAUUUCACUUAAACGAUUUUACAUUGCGCCCUCGAUCGACGACGUCCAACACAAAAAUUUCUUUUACUUUUCCCCCAAAGUACUGGGAAAUGUUCCCCACUGGAUAUAGUUGCACGUGUCCGUGGCAAGUGCCUCGGAUUUUGGGUUCGAAAUUGUGCGGGCGCAAUGCCAACGGCGGUUAGAUGUCUAUAUAGUAACUAUAUUCGAGUUGAGGCGCGACUUGGGCUACGCCUAGCGCAUACUAAAACGCUCUGGGGCAGGGCUCGUGUUUUCCAACUGGCUUCUAAUUAAUAUGCAGCACUCCUUUCUAGUUCUUCCCUAAGCUAGGGUACUCCCUUCUUUUCUUCCAGCUACAAUUUGGUUAGCUAUUCAUUUCGAUUUGGGUUAUUUAUUGCCAUUUGACUGGACUUGGAGCCACGGACGAGGCUUCAAUUGAAAUUUUGGCACGCAGCGGAGAGAAUAUUUUAAAAUUCGACACACUAGACCUUGAGGAAUGUCGUUAAGAAGUUAUUAACUACUUUUUGGCGGUGAGCAACAAUAAAACAAAAGAAUAUAAUAAAUGAAGGGGGAACAGUUUUGACAUUUACAAUAAGUUUGGUAUUUGCUUAAGAAUUUACAGGCCAACAGUUUGGUUAGAAAUUUAAUGAUUAAAUAUUUGACAUUUAUAUCAAUUAGUCAUGAUGGUAGCGAGAGUAGAGGUCUGAAAUAUGAUUAUUAUUCUGUAUAUUUAAACUUUUAACUUAAACAAUAUUCAACAUUUCUUAGUACAUAAACAGGGCUUAAGCCCUUAUCUGAGCUAAAAGACUUAUCCUAAACAUCAACUUAAGAUAUUUAUUCGGAAACCAAAGUGGCAAUCUGAAAUAGCUUGCAUAGCUGAAUCGGUUACCCUCGAAGUACUUAUCCCCGGCAUUAUGGCUUUCCACUUCUUAUGUAUUAUGGCUCGUAAAUUCUGGAAAUAUUUCCACCAAGCCGCCACAGCAUCUGCGGCUCUUUUCCGCUUUUUUUCGCUUUUGACUUUGACUUCUGGCUGCCGCUGAAUCAGCAGUUGGGUUCUCCAUUAUCGUGCCGAUCAUCAGUGCAUUUGUAGGGAGGGGUUAUGCUAUGUACAACUCUUAUAUCGUAUAUAUAAUCGUAUAUAUAUAAUCGUACCCCACUUGAGUGGUGCUGCACCACCACUCCGCCCGCCUCCACUCCACCCCCUCGAUAAGCCCGCACUCCGCGGACGACAACUCAUUCAGCGGCAGGCGAUUCGCCAGCAACGUUAAGUAAAUUGAUUCUUUAAUUGUCGAGAAUUGGUUACCAGUUGGCUUAACUCGCUUUUGCCCGCCGUGCACACCCCCGUCCACAAAGCCCCCAUAUUUGCUGUUGCUUUUGCAGUGUAGAUGUAUGUAGCCAUGGAUGUGGCAUGACUGUGGCUGUGGAUGCAAGCAAAGAAUCAAGAGUCGAGAAUGAGAAUCGGGCGUCGAGCAUUGAGAAUGAAUACCAGGCCAUGGUGAACAGAGAAGACAGCAACGGGUGAGUCAUCUGGGUCCAAAAUAAAUACCCGGGGCCUCCGUUGAGCAGGAAUUUCUGCACAGACUAGGGCAGGGCCCUCACACCCGGCCACUCCCACUCCCCAGCCCGCGACUCCCUCGCAUUGCGAGCAAAACAAAAUCUUUUUUUAUGAUUCGCGGUUGUCGAAGCAUUCGCGGUCAUUUGAUGCCUUCUUGCUCGUUCUCCCACCAGCCCGGGCACUUCAAUUCGCACCAAACAGCCAACAAACACACAAACUGCCAUGAAAUUCAAUCCCUAAAGCGGGAAAAAUAAGAAAGAAAGACCCAGAGAUCUGCACAAGGAAAAACAUGUCCCGAAAGUAAGGCACUCAAAUUCUUCAGCAUUACUUUUUUUGAAAAAAUGCUGAGUUUCGCUUUUUUUUUAAGGAAUUUUUUAGACACUUCUUGGAGUUGUUUUCUUGGUUGUUCCCUUGAAUGUAAUCAUUCCACUAGGGAAUGUAAUACAAAACUAAAUGUAGAGUUAAGUAAUAAAUAAUAUUAUAUUUCUAAGCUAGAAAUAACUUUAUAAAGAAAACAGGUUUAGCACAUAAGCUAAGCUAUUAAAAUACCUUCAACUUGCUAAUUUAUCAUCAUUAAUUACGACUUAUUCAGAUUACAAUUUUAUUACAUUUUCUAUACCAUUCACACAUUACACCUUACUGUAAAAGUAAACAACCUUUUCUCUCAGUGAUCGAAAUGAUCAUCAUUUAAACUCGUUGUUUACCCAUGUCAAGCCCAGUCGGACAACUAUGGAAUAUUAAGUAAAUAUGGUAAAUAUGGACUGAGAAAACAUAAAUUCCUGGCGAAACAUGUCAGCAGAUCAGUCGGAGAUCGGCGGAGCGGUUUCCUACCUCUACAUUGCAUUUCGCAAUCCAAUCAAUCUGAUGAUAAUCGCAUUGUCCAUGGAUUGGGGGUAAAUGGCUCCUACCUAGAGUUGCGGUGAAUUGGUAGGGGCUAAUUAAUACAGGACCCCGAAUCCGAUACCCCUAGUAGGUCGAUCCUCACCCAAACCCUCCUGCUGCUGCUUAGGGCUUUCCUAUUGAUCAUCGGAUUGUUUUUGCUCAUUUCCUGGGCCACGGCACAAUGGCAGAAGACUGGAAUAAUUAACAGCCGUAACCGAUUCGGAAUCACAAAUGGCAAACAGUGAACAGUGAAAAGCAACAGCAACGGCGACCAGCAAAUGGCAAAUGGCAACCUCUCCCCUCUCCUAACCCCUCAUACUUCUAAACACUUCCUACCGACUUCGACUGAAUGAGCCGGGAAAACUUGAAUGCAUUCAGGCGGCCGCCAUUCAGCGAUCGUGAUAAAUAACUGAAUUAAUGUGACGGCCUUUGUACAAUAAAUUAUUGAAUUUACUGUUCGAGUCUCUGUAAAAAGUGCUAAAAUUGCGCAAGUAAUAAAAACAUUAGCGAUUCACAA